AUUGCUUUCUCUGCGUUUUGAGCCAUGAGUUUUGAAAAACCGCUAGUCGACCAGUUGAAGGAGGCGUUUUACAACUUCGACGAGGACCAAGAUGGGUUCAUAUCUUGCGAAGACACCAAGAUCUUUUUGAUGAAGACGGGCGCCAAGAUGACUCGAGAAGAGGCGGAGGAAUUUUGCAACGAAUGCGACUUUGAUCACGACGGGUUCAUUGACUGUGCUCAGGUGUCGCAGUAUCUGGCGCAGGGGGGGAAUUAAAGACUGAAGUCGCCGCGUGAGGAGGCGAGUUGAUGAGUUGCGAUAUGAAAAGGGAGAGCUUC